AAUUUCCCUUGUUUGUAUGGGAGGGAAUUCCAGCACUUCCCCAAAGGAGGGGAGGGGAACCACGCUUCCUGCUGCAGUGAGGGAUUCUUUAGAACUUGGCUCUUGGAUACUAGCAGGGAGAGAACUAUACCCAGACAGUUCUUGGCAGCCCUGCAGGCUUAGGUGUAAGAAACAUUGUGAAGUGAAGUGGUCAUCUACAAAUGUGUUGGGCACAUGGACAGCCAGAGCAUUUGGGAGGCAGAAGGAGGUAGAUCUCUGUGUUCAAGGCCAGCAUGGUCUACAGAGAGAGAGAGUUCCAGGAUAGCCAGGACUACACAGAGAAACCCUAUCUCAAACAAACAAACAAACAAACAAACAAACAAACUUCACACAAUUAAUUUCCACAGAAGAACCAGCAGGAUGUAGUCCAGGAAAAGGGCAGCGGAUAGAUUUGUACCUAGCCCACUCUGAUCCUAGUCCCUUCUGUACUUUGGCUUUCCUGUGUGUGUUGGCUGCGCGUGACCUCAAUGAGAUGGUGUUCAUUAAAGCAGCCUUCAGAGAACUGUCAUGUGCUAAAGGCAGAGCCCCAAUGUGCAUGCCUGUGCCUGGCCACAAUGAGAGUGUGCGCAAAGAGAAGCUGUGGGCUUGGGCAGAACCCCAAAGCCAAUCUAGGUGCUUGUAGAUCAAAGGCCUUCUCUGCACCUCUGAACUAGCUACUGCUCGAGCCUUGGGCCAUUCUGUCGUUUGGCAUUAUUCUCUGUCCCCCAACUGAGGAAACCAGCCUCUGCCAGUGAGACUAGGCCUGUACCCCAGUUUACUUUCUCAUGGAACUUUGGUCGGUCAAGAGCGAUGAGGUUCAGGUCACACACAUCACAGGUAGGCAGACAUAUUCCACACGCAGUUUGAGUUCAUUUUGGCCCUAGGAUCUGUUCAUGUAGUCAAUAUCUAAUAUGUAUGUGUAUAUUUCCUGGCAUGUUCUAAGUGGGCGUAUGAUGGGAAAGCAACAGAGAGAGACAGUACCCCUGUUCUCAGGGGAUCCACAUUCAGUGUGUGUGUGUGUGUGUGUGUGUGUGUGUGUGUGUGUGUGUGUGUGUGUGUGUGUGUGGUGUGCAUGUGUGUGUAGUGUGUGUGUGUGACAGUAGAUAAAAAGACAUACAAGAAAAUGUCAACCAGUGAUGUAUGACUGUAGAAAGGCUGAGUAAGGAAGGGCAGUGACUGGAAGCUUGGGAAAGGUGGGCGCAGACAAGGAGUCAUUGCUUAUGUGGGACAAAUGUUUAGGGUGAGCACAGCUAGUGUCAAGGCUCUGGAGUGGGAAUGAACUGGGAAUGAUAGAGGGAGGCCAGUAGAGCCAAGGUGGGGAAGGACGGAGAUGGUGGAAGGGCCUGAGAAAGGGAGAUGCAGGAGGGACCACUCUGAAGCCACAGAAACUUAAGAGCCACCCAUUCUUGGGCAUGAGAAAUGCUCUAGGAAUAACGUGUAGUACUCUAUGUCUAUUGCUCCCAAGUCUGCCUUUCUGGAAAUCCCUGGAAUAGUGGCCUCCCCCAGUUUCCCACCCUGGCUGCUCCAUUUUACUCCUGGCCAAAUAGGACGACAGAAGUCUCGUAUGGGCUGGGGGUGUAUCUUAACUGUAGAAUGCUUGACUAGCAUACAGGAAGCCUUGGGGUCUAUUUCCGGCAUUGCAUAAAACUGGGUGUGGAGGUUCAUACCUGUAAUCAGACGAUCCUCAAGUCCAUCAGCUCCAUAGCCAGUUCAAGACCAACCUGGGCCACAUGGAAUCUUAUUUAAAUUAUUUGAUUAUUUAUUAUUUGAUUAUUAAAUUUAAUAAUCAAACCAAGGACUUGUCAAAUCGCCAUUGCUAUGCCUGCUCCCUUUAUCUUAUUGUACAAAGAAGCAGUUGGGCAUGUCUUGGGGGGGGGGUUGGUGGCCCAUCAGAACUGACCUUGGUGCCUUGUGACAGCUGAGGAUCUAAAAGCCCUAAAUAAGGACCUGACAGCUUCUACUCCUCUCCAGAAAAGACAGAAGCCCACAUCCCAGUCCAUUCUAGAGGAAGUGGCUCUGAGAGUCCCCAUACUGGCCACUCCCUGUUCUAGAAAGUCCUGGUAGCUGGUUCAGGACAACAGAUGGCCAAGGACAAUUAGGCGAGAAACCUCGAGGCAAGGUGCCAUUUUCUCUGUGCAGUCAUAAUUCUCUCUGUUGCUCCAACUAAGGCUUUUGCCAGAGCCCAGCUUGGAUACAGACCCAGAGGCUCACCCACUAGGCUGGCAGGGGCCUUCCCUUAUUCUUAGGGAUCCUGACUUCCGUCCCAGUACUGAGCUGUUUGCUAUGGAUUAGACAGAGGCUCAGUGUGAAGGCUUAGUUUCCAGAUGUGCUAUUGACAACUAGUCAUGAUGGCCUUACCCUCAGCAAUAGAUCAAUGGGGUCACAGUUGAAUGGGCUGUCAGAAGGGAGGGAGUAGGUCUCUGGGAGAGGGUGACUUUGGGUACAUUUUAUCCCUGUCCCACACCCUUGGACUCCAUGUGGUAAGCACCUCUACCAUGUUUCUGUCUUGUCAUGGUCUCAGAAGCCAUGGGAGCUGUGCUCAAAAACUACAGCUGACCUGAAGACAUCCAAAGUAUCCAUGCCAGGAGCCUGCAGUGGUUCUUCCUGUCCUGUGUGAGCGCUCAUGACACUGCACAGGAGAUGGGCAAUCAGAGACACCACUGUUCAAACCACAACUGUCCACAGGACAAAUAACGGCACCUUCCGUGGGGUGCAGCCAACCGGCAUGUCAACCUAGAAAGGAUGUGCCCUGCACGGAAAGCACCUGACUGAAAUCAGCUUGAAAUCCUGUGUGGGCACCUAUGUUCACUUGUAAUAUGGAAGGACAGGACUUAUGAACCUGUCAGGAGUGAUCCAGAAAUCUUCAGGGUUCAAGGUGGAGCCGCUGCCUCUCUGCUCCUUGCUUUUCUUCUCUUUAGAAGUUGACGGGCAGAAUUCUCACUCAGCCCCAUAGUGGGCUGGGGGGACCGAAGGAGACUGCCACGCCUCCCUGCCGCACUCAGCCCUGGUGCCUGCUAUCUAGUUUACUUCAGUCCAGUAGCAUCAAAAGCAAUUCAGCUGGGCCUGCAAACAUCAGAGAAGUUUCCACAGCAACUCGAAACUUCUCCCUUGGCCCUGUGUUUUGGAGUCUCAAUCUCCAAAGAAGCCCACUGAACAGUCCCUGGAUCAAAGUGGCCGCCUCUCUGGCUACUCUGGACAUAUUCUGCUGAAAGGACCUUGGGGGACACGGCGGGGCGGGAGGGGGGGAGGAGCUCGCUGGCGGUAGAGCUUGCCACGGAGCCCACAGAGAGAUUGUAAAUUGGUGAAGAGUUGCCUUUCCAAGUUUGAACUGGGAAAUUUUUACCCUGGAGGAAGGGAUUUCAAGCGUGAACGCAGGAAGUGGAGCAGGGCAACAAGAACCAAGAGUCCUUUUUUUUUUUUUUUUUCCUGAAAGCUGGCUCUGAACCUGCUGCCACUGGUUUAGUGAAUUUGGUCUCUAAGAGUGAUCUUACCCUUAUUUUAGUUUUCUUGUUGUGAGAAAAGCUAGGAUAUAGUCUCAUGCUCUCUCUCUCUCUCUCUCUCUCUCUCUCUCUCUCUCUCUCUCUCUCUCUCUCUCUCUCUCUCUCUGCUUAUGGGCAUGUUGAGAAGAUCAUAGUAAGCCAUAUAAUUUCAGAAUGCCCAUGUUGGUAGAGAGCAACACUUCUAGAAUUUGAAUUUCAGAGAAGCAAUGGAGUUGUUCAGUACAACCGCAUCCAUUUUACGUCUGGAGCUAUUUACAAUAAAGUCUUCCUAUGAGGUUCAAAUCGCACCAGGGUCCAGACUUUUCUUCGUUUGUUUUGUUGUUUUAUAGCGUAGUGCUCCUUGGUAGCGGUAGUGGAUUGGAGGUUUUCUGCCCCCUGGUGGCUAACGAAGUAUACACCACUUGGGGUAGUACCCUGUAAUUUACACUGCAGGAGAGAAAGAAGCCUUUUUUCCUAUGGUGAAAGUAAAACUUGCCAGGGAGACAUUUUUCAGAGGACGAUAAAUAGCUUUUCAGGUAUGAGUAAGCAUACGUUAUAUCACAGAGAGAGUCCUUCCAGGCACAGAGAGAGAGAGGUUAUGAGUAUCUGGUGCCAACCUUGAUACCAACCCUGGAUCCGUGGCUGGCUGACUUUCAGCUAGCCCUCCUCAAUCUCUAAAGCGGGGCAUUGUUCUGAUGAACAGAGGGCACAGGACAUGGAAACCUCGGGGCCCAGUCGGGCCACCUGCCAAAGUGGCAGCUACUAUCUCAAUACCACACGUGACUGCAUCAGAGUUCCCAAUCAAGUGAAAAAGAUUGGAAAUUCAUUAGGAAGCAAACGAACAGGUCAGCUCUCCUGGGGGGGGGGGGGCGAGAAAGCAGCUCUUCCAGUGUGACUAGUAGAUGGUUGUGGCAAGGAGGAUUAUGGGGCAAACUUUUGAUUCUUGCAUUCGUUGAUUAGCUGUGGCUGUGCACAUGGCUGUUAUGGUUGCUUUUGUUGGAGACAGGGUCUUGACACGUCACAUGGGCUGGCCUGGAAGUCGCUAAGCAGCCCAGACUGGCCUUAGGCUUGCAACGAUUCUCCUGAGUGGCACUAUAGGCCUCCGUGUUUUUCUAGUAGUGUACUCUUGGGUGAGGCUCAAGGCUGCUGUCCAAGGAUACAGCUGCUCUCUCCCAUUGCAUACUGUAUUCUCCUGGGGACAUCCAAAGGGCACCUCACUCCCGUUCUCCUGUUUUUCCUUGUGUUGGACAGUAGGGGGAGCAAUUCCUGAGUUCAUGGCUGUAGAUUUGAAUCUCAGCGUCACCCUUAACUGUGUCUGUGUUGUCUUAGACAAAUCGUGCUACUAUCUGAGUUCCAGUUUCCUCAUUUUCCAACAGGAGUGGGUAUUGCUUACAUCUCUAGGAGGAAGAAGUCAUACCUGCUCUAACUAUCAACACAUCCUGUGUCCCCCACAGGGCGGAGUGCUUAGUAGAGGCCAAUAAACAUCAGAUGGAGGAGUACAGGAGUGAACUGGGUUGGCCAGAUGACAGGGACGGUGACAGUAGUGGAUGGCCAGACGUGUUGCCAUUGUUUCUGUCCUAGGGAGACAGGCUGACUUUGGAGAAGUAACCCCGAGUCUCAAAGUGUUUUCUCCCUCAGAGAAGGGCAGAAAGAUGCUUUAGCAGACUGUGGGUGGCUGCUGCAGCUCUCUGGGGCUAUCUGCUUACUAAGAGGAUGUUUAGCGGGUCCUGCUAGAAUUGUGGCGGUAGAACUGGACACUGUUUCUAUUGAGUGCUUCAUAUGUAAAUACCUAAUCCUUAAGGAGGCCUCUGACUACGUGGGGUGGGGGUGGGGGAGAGGACGGACCGCCUGUGACCCCGGAGCUCUGACUUACCUGCUGUAAGCUGAGAAAGGCCAAAUAGCAGUUCCAGCAAGAGACAGUGCAAGGCCUUCCUUUUAGAGAUCGUGCAGCCAGCUUUUAUGUGAAAGUUAACCUCAACAUUGAGAACUGAAAUCUGAUUCCUUGAUUAGGGGUUGCUGGCUCGACGACACGGUUGAGUUAGACCCUACCCCCAAGAAGGUGCUGUUGGUUCUGAAACCUUAGCCAGGUAUUGUCUGGGGGCUUAAGGCAACCCUUGUUCAAACUGCUAACUAAUUUGGUGGGCGUUGUCUCUCGCGGCAGGGGAGGGGCACGGCAACCCUGAGCUCUAGGCACCCUGGGGACCUAGGCAGGCGUCGCCACCGCAAAAUGCGUUGCCGACCCAGCCACCUUAGUACUUCUGGCUUCAUAGGACUGACCACUAGCUGAGACCCGCUUCUUGCCCAAGGCAAAAGGCAGUUGGGCAGGGGGCCAAGUCCCUUUAUAUUUUCGAAUCACUUCCCCAGGAGGGCAAUUUUCACCAUCCCCCAAACCCUGACCAGUAGUUUAGUUUCUGAAGGAAAGAAACACCUUAAGCCCCCAUUGAAGGCAUUUUCUCCCUCUGUAUCUAUAUCGCGAUAUUUUUCCAAAUUAUUUUAGCGGACCAUAUAUUCAUUUAUUUUAUUAUUUGGAUAAAAGACUUCCAAAGUGUGCCUAUUAGAAAAUACAAUGCUUAUCUGCGCAUAAGCAAGCAAAAAGUUAGAGACGAACACCUGCCAUUAACAAAAUUCAAAAGUCCGCUGUAUGUCUCCUUCCCAGUUGUGUCCACAGUCAGCAAAUGCUUUCUGAGCUGCCUGGAGCACGCCGUUCCCUCAUCAUAGGCAACCACCCACGGGACAACCAGGGUCCCUGGUCCGUGGUGGGCUGGGCUCAUGAAUUUUCUUCAUCCACCCCCCACCGGACUUUCCCCUUCUUUCAGACCUAUCAACCACCCUCGCUGCGUGCUGAAAGCUCUUGGAUUGGGGACCCUGCCUGGCAUCAGCCCUGGCAGGGACCUCGCGGGAUCUCUGCAGGCAGGACACGUAGUGUUGUCAGAAGUUUGUACUUGUGCACGCGCAUGCGUUUCCGCACUUAGGAAGAGGGCAUGGAUGAAAGAGGAGAGAGAAGAAACGGAAGGACAAGAACAAGCAGUGAUGAAGAAACGUCAAAGCCUUGAGAGAUGUGAAGGAAGAAACCUGGCGCCAAGGAAGGAAGGACCAGGGGCACUGCUGUCUGCAGAGGGUGGUGGUGAAGUUCCCUCUUACCUGACCUGAGCAGCACCGCUCGGUAGAGCCCGGUGGCCUUAGCGGGCGGUUUGGCCCACUCGCUGAGCUUCUGCGCCAUGCCCUGCGCUGUGAAUUCCCACCGCCGAGCCUGGACUGAGGGCUUGUGCAGCGUCUCACUCGGUGAUAGUGACGCGCCCGGCUGCUCCACCCGCCGGAGAUCUGGUUACUGUGGGCUGUGUGAGACCCAGCCUGCUUCCCAGAUCUGCGUAGGGUGUGCGGCCGUGUGGGAGGGCCAAGGGGGCACAGGCAGUCUCUGUGCCCAGGGACGCGGGAGGGUGUCCGGACACUCUUGCAGCAUCACACAGAGUGCUGCCAGCAUGGCCUCCUGCCCACCUCGCCCGGUUCUUGGCCACCGGACUCUGUGAGAGCUGCAAGCAGGUAUGGGAUUAGGAAGUGCCAUUCCUGGGAUCUGUUCCCAGCUGAGCUGGUGAAGAGAGGCCCAGGGUCCUCAUCUGAGAUGCGCAGAGAUCCACGGUUCUUCACUCACCGGUUACACGGUGAGGCUUGGCAGGUGUAAGAGGAGGUGCUUAGAACCUGGCGGGUUCAGAGCAGACGCCAUGCACCAUACUUUCAAAGAUGACUUGUGAUGUGAGGAUGUUUCUCACCUGGUAGAGUGCUCAUGUGAAGCCCUGGGUUCGAGACCCAGCAUUGCAUAAAACCCCGGGAUGGCGGUGCACACCUGUUACCCUAGAAUUUAAGAAGCGGAGGUAAGGGCUGGAGAGAUGGCUCAGCGGUUAAGAGCACCCGACUACUCUUCCAGAGGUCCUGAGUUCAAUUCCCAGGUGGCUCACAACCAUCUGUAAAGAGAUCCGAUAUCUCUUCUGGUGUAUCUGAAGACAGCUACAGUGUACUUAUAUAUAAUACAUGAAUAAAUAUUAAAAAAAAAAGAAGCGGAGGUAAGAGGAUCAGGAGUUCAAGGUCUUCCCCAGUCUGAGGCCAGACUGGGCUACAAGAGAGGUGUCUCAAAACACAGUCAAGUAAACAAACACACCUCAAAGAUUUGAGGGGUGCUGUGAAGCUGGGACAUUGCUGGGGUAGAGAAAAGUGACUAGGACUCUUCGAGUCCGAACUGAUUUCUUUUGGCUUUGUGAUAUCUCUUAAACAGCCAGAGAAGACCAAUGGAAGGGUCGAUGGGGCAAAAUCCACCAUGCGGUUGUGGAAUAUUUGAGAUGUCCACAGCCUUGGUUACCCACUCUGCCAGCACUGGGCUGCUGGCAGAUAAAACAAGGUGUAAUCUGGCUCAUUUACUCUUUAUGAAAUUUGGUGUCUUAGCAUUCUGAUUUUACAGAGGAGUGCUUCCCACCUAAGAAGUCCUGAAUUUGGAUUCCCAGAGCCCAUAUAAAGCUGGGUAUAGUGACAAACAUUUGUAGUCCCAGUGCCAGGGAGGUAGAGACAGAUUUGUGGGUCUGGCUGGCCAGUGAGUCUAAUCGACGUAGUGAGCUCCAGACUCAGGGAGACAUCCCCGAGGAUAUAGCUCAACUGGUAACGGCCAGCAGGGACUCACUCAGUGGAAGGAGAUAGUCAACCCAUGCAGGUUGUCCUUUGACAUCCGCACGUGACCUCCACAAACAUGACACUUCCCUCCCCUAAAAAAAAUCACUGGGUUUUUGGCCACAGAGAGGACUGACUGGUAAGGGUGAAAGUCUUCCCUGAGGAAAUCACUAUGAUGUUUUGAACGUGUGCGUAUUUACAAGAAAAAUGCUCCUUUAAAGAGUUACUUAUGGGGUUGGGGAUUUAACUCAGUGGUAGAGCGCUUGCCUAGCAAGCGCAAGGCCCUGGGUUCGGUCCCCAGCUCUGAAAAAAAGAAUAGGAAAAAAAAAAAAAGAGUUACUUAUUGGGCUAGAGAGAUGGCUUAGUGGUUAAGAGCACUGACUGCUCUUCCUAAGGUCCUGAGUUCAAAUCCCAGCAACCACAUGGUGGCUCACAACCAUCUGUAAUGGGAUCUGAUGCCCUCUUCUGGUGUGUCUGAAGACAGCUACAGUGUACUUAUUAUAUAAUAAAUAAAUCUUUUUUAAAAAGUUAUUUACCUUUGUUUAUGUGUAGUGGGUGCUUGUGGAGGUCAGUUCCCUUGGAGUUAUAGACCAACGUGAAUCAUCCCAUGUGAGUGGUAGGAACCGAACACAGGUCCUCUGCAAGAAUAACGACUGUUCUUAAUCUGAGUCAUUUCCCAGCCCCUACUUAUGUUUCCUAAACGACAACGAUGAUGAUGGUAAUGACGACAACAACAACAACUCAGAUGUGUUAGCUUUUUUUUUCUUUUCUUUUUUUUCUUUCUUCUUUCUUCUUCUUCUUCUUUUUUUUUUUUUUUUUUUUUUUUUUGCUAACCCAAGGCAAACAAUUGAAAGCAGGGAGGAUUGAUUUUGGCUCACAGUUUCAGGGACACAGUCUACAGUCCUCUGGCACCAUCUUGUUUAAUAAGGCUGAGUAUCCUGGGGGGGGGGAGUAUAUAAUACAGCAAAAUUUGGUCUUGUGACUGUCGGGAAGCAGAAAGACCAGCCACCAAUGACUCUAGGACACACCCCCAAUGAGCCACUUGAUCCCACAUUUUGCACCCUCCAUUCCAGAAAUGCCACCAAAUUAUGACUUCAUCAAUAGACCAAUCCACCCAUGAAGUGAGUCCUGGUGACCUAACCGCCUCGCCAAAGCCUCACACUGACUGUUAUGACCACUGGGAGCAAGCUUUGCACACAAACGCUUUUGCAGAGGUGUAGGGGGACCCUUCAUAUUUAGAAGAAAGUUAAGUCAGUACAAAGAGUUUCUUGUAUUCCACACCCAGUGCCCCUGUCCUUAACAUCAUAAUGUAUGUAGGGCAGGCAAGAAAGGAACACGCAGCCAGGCUUGAGGACCUGAGUUCAAUCCCCGGGACCCACAUGACUCCUACCAGUUGCCAUAUGAUCUCUACCAACAUGCUCUGGCAUGCACACCCUCCCACAAAUAAAUAAGUAAAUAGUAAGUGUAACCAAGUGUACACGGAUGAGUGUAUGUGCCGUAGAAGGUUACUUGAAACACAUGAACCAAGUCGAUAUACUUUUGCUAACUGAUUCAUCCUUUAUUCAUAGGUCUGUUAUUCUUACCGAAUGCCCUUCUCCGUCCUGGGACCAUCUCCAGGAUUCCACAUAGUCUGCUGUGUUGUUGUGCCCCUUAGGCUCUCUUGCCUGUGACCGUCACAGUUUUUAGUUAUUGUGUAGUUCCACAGACAAAUCAAGGGAGGCUGCCUGUUCCUUGUGUGGCACUGCGGGAUGGAUAAGAGGGGCUGGGGUCCCCAGGGGCUUCCCAUUUUGAGCAUUGCCACCAAAGACAGAGAAGAGGGACAGUGUCGGGGACCAGUCAGGCUUCCUUUUGUUUGCCUUCACAAAGGGAUUGAGGGCACAGGUAACGUCAUCCGUGGAAGGAAAUCCGGGGACAUAGAAAAGGGACCUACUCCAGAGAGUUGGAAGGACUCACGAGCUUUUCUCCUGUGUCUCCCCACAUAGAGCUGGGAAGCUGACUAGAACUCACACACAGCUCUACAUUACAAAGACAGUGAAGUCCCCAGACCCGAGUUAAAAAAAAAUGCCCUUCGCACACACACCUGCCAAGCUUUAAAAAUGGAGAGCCCAUCAGGAAUAAAGCUAACUAGUGCCCCAUGGAGCAAGGUGGCUGGGGCUGGCGGUGGUGCGGUGCCCCUUUGCUGAGAGGGCUUGGUGGAUGAGUGGGUUCUUCACUCUAAGGUACUGACAGAGCAAGGAAGCUCAGAAAAGCCAGCUGGGUCUUCGCUGAUGCAGUCCUGUAACUCACAGCCUUCUCCCGGGACUGUGCCAAUUCACACAGCCAUUAACCACUGGCAGACUGGCAGGUGCCAGUUCCACCCAUGAUCCUCAGAGGUCCUUCUUUUGCCAGGUGGAUUGACAUUUUUUGAGAAUGUUAUAAUUCUGAUUUCUUUAAAAAAAAACUGCGGAAAUGUAAGAGUGUGGUUUCGUUUUAAUCCCAGGGGCUGGGGUGCGGGGCUGCUCCGGACUUUCUGCAGCAGCUGGCUGUGAUUUGCCUCGUGCCCUAGUAGACGUGUGGUUCUGCAGCCUGCAGAUAUCUUCUGUGAUUGUGUGACAUUUGGAAUUCGAGGAUCUUUCCACAGGGUACAUAAAUGCUAGGGACCCUGAGAGGCAGGGUGGUUGCUUGUUGGUCAUUUAGGGAGGUUGGUUUGUUGGCAAUCGUUUGUCAAAGAAGAAACAAAAGGAAAGAAAUUAGAUUCAGGGAUUCCCUACCCCUUCCUCUUUCCUAUCCAGUAUUAGGAGGGUGAAACCUGGGGAGUAAAGGGUGGGGAAAAGAAGAACCCAUAAAGUAGCAAAGACCAGCUACAGCCAGGCAUGUAAAAUACCAAAACACUGCUGACCACAGCUCUUCCUCAGUUGAGGCCAUUUGUGUCCCUCCUGUACCUCCUGAGGCCACCCUCUGCCUCCUUUCCAUCCCCUGGUUGCUGAGAUUCUCUAGGAGCUGGUAGCUGGUGACCUCAAUGGUCCUGUCCCUUAAACUCCCCCUUUUCUAUUGUGCCACAUUGUGUCUCCUACAGGCUAAUGUCUCAGUACAACAGUGUCAUAGUUAUCAGACAGACAUCCAAAAUUCGGCCCCGUAGACUUGCCCCACAGCAAGUGACACUUGGGAAACUUUGGUUUAUUUUGUCUUGUCUUUUUUCUCUUUUGAAACAUGGCUGGCCUAGGUAGCCCUGGCUGGCCUGAAACUCUCUACGGAGAACUCACAGAGAUCCACCUGCUUCUGCUCCUGGGUACUGAGAUUAAAGGUGGGCACCACCACACCCAACAUUUGCUUUGGUUUUAAGUAUCUAAAAAUUGAGGUUCAGCACAUGUCCACAGAGGAGUGAAUUUUGAGUGCUACCUCGGUGGAUUUCUGUGUGCGCUCACUUAUAACCACUUCCGGAUUGGGAUGUAAAACAGGCCCUUCCCAGGCAACACUUACUGUCUGCUCCGGGAGAUGUAAUUCUGCCCUCUGUGGCCUUGAGUCUUUGGCUCUGGCAGUAAGUAUAAACACAUUUGGGUUUGGGUCCGGGACCGGGGGCUCAGUUGGUAGAGUGCUUGCUCAGCAUGCAUGGAGCUCUGAGUUUGGUCUCCAGCACCAUGCGAACUUGGCUUAGUGAUGCACACUUGUAAUGCCUGUACUCUGGAGAUAGAGACUGGAGGAUCAGCAGUUCAAAGUCGUCUUCAAGAUCAGCCAUGGCUACAUGAGUCACUAUUUAAAAGAAAAAAAAAUGAACAGUACAAUUUGCUGUUUGGGUUAGCUUUUUUUCUUGAUAGUUUGAGUGUGUGGUUGUUUCUGGUCCAUUCCUCUUUGCUGCUGCGUGGCUUUCUAGUUUAUAUAGUAACUAUUCUGUGGCUUUUGGACAGCGCUAAAAACAUCCACUACGAACUUCCUUGUACGGUGGCCGGUUGAGGGCACUCAUUGGUCAUGUGACACCUGACUGAGGCGCUAUUGGCCGGUAAGGGAGGGGAGACACUGCCAAGGGUGUUUGCGGCUGUUUAUGUAGGCCGUGCUCUGACAUCUUCAUCAGAUGAUGGCCACGAGCCCCACUCACCCAGCCAGCGUGGCAGACGGAUGGUUUUCCUGUUGAAGUUGGUAUAGCUGCGGAGGAAGAUCCACAUGGUAACCACGGUGAAAAUGAAAGCCACAACACGAAUCAGACCUGCAGGCCACAUGCACUCCCACCUCCCCCAGGACCCUGUAAUCCCAGAACAAGACACUCUCUGAACGGUGAAUGGGCAGUGGAGUGCCCAGAUCUCCACUGAGCAGCUGGAGAGGAGUGAAGACAUCUGCUCACACAGCCCUUCCCUUGCCCUCAAUUGGCUGAGUGAGCAGGGGCAACUUCAAGGACCAGGCAUCCUCAGGGUCACUGCCUACUUCACUCGCCGUCUUCUCUGUGACUCUUCUGAUGGACUGUGAACUUCCCGAGAUAGCAGUUUGUCAUUCCUAAAAGCCUGGUGGCUUGCACAGUACCUAGGGUACAACAGGUGCUGAACCCUGACAAGAGCACCGACCUGUGAGUUUUCCUGCUCCCUGCCAGCUCCGUGGCCGGUGCUGGACACUGUUGACUAGGUUAAUUCACACCAGUCAAGCCUCCAGGAAUUUGUGAAUGUCCCCAUUACUCUUUUGAAAAGGAAUAAACCAAAACAUGAAUCCCAACAAUAAAUAGAAUAAAUACAUGGAUUGCUUUUAUCUAUGGU